CCAAUAGCGUAUAUUAAAGUUGUUGCAGUUAAAAAGCUCGUAGUUGAAUUUCGGGGUCUGUCCGUCGGUCGGGCUUCACGGUCCGUACUGGUGUGAUGGGUUCCUACCUUCUGAAUAACCGGCAUGCCAUUCAGUUGGUGCGCCGGGGAAGCAGAGCUAUUACCUUGAAAAAAUUAGAGUGCUUAAAGCAGGCUAGUGCUUGAAUAGAUUAGCAUGGAAUAAUAAAAUAGGACGGCAUGGUUCUAUUUUGUUGGUUUCUAGGAUCACCGUAAUGAUUAAUAGGGAUAGUUGGGGGCAUUAGUAUUCAAUUGUCAGAGGUGAAAUUCUUGGAUUUAUUGAAGACUAACUUCUGCGAAAGCAUUUGCCAAGGAUGUUUUCAUUAAUCAAGAACGAAAGUUAGGGGAUCGAAGACGAUCAGAUACCGUCGUAGUCUUAACCAUAAACUAUGCCGACUAGGGAUCGGACGAUGUUAAUUUUUUAAUGACUCGUUCGGCGCCUUACG
rnacentral:rRNA from 1 species